rnacentral:rRNA from 1 species
CCUACGGGUGGCUGCAGUGAGGAAUAUUGGUCAAUGGACGGAAGUCUGAACCAGCCAUGCCGCGUGCAGGAAGACGGCUCUAUGAGUUGUAAACUGCUUUUGUACAAGGGUAAACCUGAAUACGUGUAUUCCACUGAAAGUACUUUACGAAUAAGGAUCGGCUAACUCCGUGCCAGCAGCCGCGGUAAUACGGAGGCUCCAAGCGUUAUCCGGAUUUAUUGGGUUUAAAGGGUGCGUAGGCGGAUUGAUAAGUUAGAGGUGAAAUGUCCGAGCUUAACUCGGGAACUGACUCUAAUACUGUUGAGCUAGAGAGUAGAUGCGGUAGGCGGAAUGUAUGGUGUAGCGGUGAAAUGCUUAGAGAGCAUACAGAACACCGAGUGCGAAGGCAGCUUACCAAGCUAUAUCUGACGUUGAGGCACGAAAGUGUGGGGAGCAAACAGGAUUAGAUACCCGGGUAGUC